rnacentral:rRNA from 1 species
AACGAACGCUGGCGGCAUGCCUAACACAUGCAAGUCGAACGAAGGCUUCGGCCUUAGUGGCGCACGGGUGCGUAACGCGUGGGAAUCUGCCCUUGGGCUCGGAAUAACAGUGAGAAAUUACUGCUAAUACCGGAUGAUGUCGAAAGACCAAAGAUUUAUCGCCCAGGGAUGAGCCCGCGUAGGAUUAGCUAGUUGGUGAGGUAAAGGCUCACCUAGGCGACGAUCCUUAGCUGGUCUGAGAGGAUGAUCAGCCACACUGGGACUGAGACACGGCCCAGACUCCUACGGGAGGCAGCAGUGGGGAAUAUUGGACAAUGGGCGAAAGCCUGAUCCAGCAAUGCCGCGUGAGUGAUGAAGGCCUUAGGGUUGUAAAGCUCUUUUACCCGGGAUGAUAAUGACAGUACCGGGAGAAUAAGCCCCGGCUAACUUCGUGCCAGCCGCCGCGGUAAUAC